CAGGAUGAACGCUAGCUACAGGCUUAACACAUGCAAGUCGAGGGCAGCAUGAAGUUGCUUGCAAACUUGAUGGCGACCGGCGCACGGGUGAGUAACGCGUAUCCAACCUUCCCUAUAGUAGAGAAUAGCCCGGCGAAAGUCGGAUUAAUGCUCUAUGUUCUUCUUUGAUGGCAUCUGACGAGAAGCAAAGGUUUACCGCUAUAGGAUGGGGAUGCGUCUGAUUAGGUUGUUGGCGGGGUAACGGCCCACCAAGCCCACGAUCAGUAGGGGUUCUGAGAGGAAGGUCCCCCACAUUGGUACUGAGACACGGACCAAACUCCUACGGGAGGCAGCAGUGAGGAAUAUUGGUCAAUGGACGGAAGUCUGAACCAGCCAAGUAGCCGUGCAGGACGACUGCCCUAUGGGUUGUAAACUGCUUUUAUAGGGGAAUAAAGUGAGGUACGUGUACCUUUUUGUAUGUACCCUAUGAAUAAGGACCGGCUAAUUCCGUGCCAGCAGCAGC
rnacentral:rRNA from 1 species